UACGAAGGGGGCUAGCGUUGUUCGGAAUCACUGGGCGUAAAGGGCGCGUAGGCGGCUUGAUAAGUCGGGGGUGAAAGCCUGUGGCUCAACCACAGAAUUGCCUUCGAUACUGUCGAGCUUGAGACCGGAAGAGGUAAGUGGAACUGCGAGUGUAGAGGUGAAAUUCGUAGAUAUUCGCAAGAACACCAGUGGCGAAGGCGGCUUACUGGUCCGGUUCUGACGCUGAGGCGCGAAAGCUAGGGGAGCAAACGGG
rnacentral:rRNA from 1 species